UAAGGCGGUUAUAGCGGCGGGGGUCCACCUCUUCCCAUCCCGAACAGAGAAGUUAAGCCCGCUUGCGCCGAUGGUACUGCACCACAAUGUGGGAGAGUAGGUAGCCGCCCUUU
rnacentral:rRNA from 1 species